rnacentral:lncRNA from 1 species
GUGUAUAUGCCCAGACCUCUGUAAUUCAGAUGUAAACAAGAGGCUGUCACAACGACAGCAAACCGGAUUUAUUUACAUUUAUUUGUGUCCUGGCAAUAUCACAAGAACCAUUACUGAUGAAUGGUGAAAGUGAAAAUCAUCAAUAUCAAAUUUGACCUCCAUUUUGUCAUCAGUAUCAACAUUUUGAAAUAAUAAUAUUUGAAAAGCUUAGAUUGAAUGGUUCAUGAGUAAAUGCAACAAACGCCAUUUUACAAUCUUUCAAGAACCAUAACUCCUGAACAGUAAAAGUCAAAAUCGUCAUUAUGGAACUUGACCUCUAUUUUGUCAUCAGUAACAACAUAUUAAAAUUUCAAAAGCUUUGGUUGAAUGGUUCAUGAGAAAAUGCACGGACACGACGGGAAACACCAUUUUUCAAUCUUUCAAGAACCAUAACUCCUGAACGGUAAAAGUCAAAAUCGUCAUUAUUGAACUUGACCUCCAUUUUGUCAUCAGUAACAGCAUAUUAAAAUUUUGGAAGCUUUGGUAGAACAGUUCAUGCAUAAAUGCACGGACACGACUGGAAACUCCAUUUUUCAAUCUUUCAAGAACCAUAACUCCUGAACGGUAAAAGUCAAAAUCGUCAUUAUUGAACUUGACCUCCAUUCUGUCAUCAGUAACAACAUAUUAAAAAUUUGGGAAACUUUGGUAGAACAGUUCAUGAGUAAUGAUGCACGGACACGACUGAAAACUCCAUUUUCAAUCUUUCAAGAACCAUAACUCCUGAACGGUAAAAGUCAAAAUCGCCAUUAUUUAACUUGACCUCCAUAUAGUUGUCCGUAAUAACAUAUUAAAAUUUUAAAAGCUUUGGUUGAACGGUUCAUGAGUUAAUGCACGGACAACAUUUGAUUGCCGCCUUUCAAGAACCAUAACUCCUGAACGGUAAAAGUCAAAAUCGCCAUUAUUGAACUUGACCUUCGUAUAGUUGUCAGUAAUAACAUAUUAAAAUUUUAAAAGCUUUGGUUGAACGGUUCAUGAGUUAAUGCACGGACAACAUUUGAUUGCCGCCCGCCCGACCGCCGACUGCCAGACCGCCCGGCCGCCCGGCCGCCCGCCGUACAUCCCCAAAUCAAUAACCGACAUUUUUGUCACAAAAAUCCGGUUAAUAAAAGAAGAAUGUGUCCAUGGAACACAGAUCCACUUGUAAACAGAUGUUGAAAUCAGCACAGUGUACAAGUUUUAUAGCAUUUCGAUGAGGCGACUUCAAGUUGGUUUCCAAAAAUCAAUUUUGGGACGCAGGGACGGAAAAGUGUUAAACCGAAUGCCCUCUUUGCAUAGCAGCAAGGACAUAAAUAGACUAUUAGAAAUGGUAAAUUAGGUGUUAUGUAUUGAUUACGAAAAAACAGCCAAUGUAAAUAUAGCAUUUUGCAAUUAAUUAUGCAAUUACUGUGAAAUAUCAAACAUUAGUAUAAUUAGGUGUUGCAAUUAUGAAUUAAAUGUACAUGUCUUCUAG